rnacentral:tRNA from 1 species
GACUCUCUAACUCAAUAGGCAGAGUACCUGACUCUUAAUCAGGCGGUUCUGGGUUCGAUUCCCAGGGGGGUCA